AGUGACAACUUACUCAGGGAUCACUGAUUGU
rnacentral:piRNA from 1 species